AUGACCAUAUCAUAUUGAAACACCAGUUUUUGUCUGAUCAUCAUAGUUAAGCAACAUCAAGCUUGCUCAGUACAUAGAUGGGUGACUGCUUGGGAAUACCAGGUGCUGUAA